UGUGGGACUUGCUUCGAGUUCCAUAUUCCAACUGUCUUCUUACCUUUUCUUCUUCCAACUGUUUUUCUUGCUUAAAGGAUCCAAAACCAAAAGGAUGCUUGUUUCACUAUUUAGGCUUUUUCUUGGAAUCUACAUGGUUGUUUGUAUAAAGAUAUGGCCAAAUGAUCUAAAUAUAUAAUAUUUUUGGUCAAUUUCAGUCAAUUGGCUGAAGUUGUUAACAUCAUAUGAUCCAAGUAAACUUGAUAAAAUUAAAAGGAGUGGCUAAAAUUAUAAAUUUGUGCAAGGGUUGGAAUUUUUUUGGCCAUUUGGCCUAAAGAUCUUAGUACUUAAAAUAGCUUCUAAAAUGGAUGCAAUUAAAGUAGCUGAAUCUCAUGACAACCUUUUUUGUAUAGAUCCAUUAGCAUUUUCCAUUCUCAUGACUUUCAACAAAUGGGCUAAUAUUGGAGUUUCUAUUGUCAAUUUGUAAGAUAUUAUAAUGCUAUGGUGCUUUUGCUUCCCCCCUCACGGGCGUGGGCGCCCCCCCUUUUUUGUAGGCAUUUGGAACAUAGGUAUCUACCUGAGAUUGUUUUGCUAGCAGAAUGUUGUAACAAGUGUUUUACGAUAUUCAUGCAUUGAUGUCUUUCAUGGUGCAGAAAGGUUAUCCUUCUGAUUCUG
rnacentral:misc_RNA from 1 species